rnacentral:misc_RNA from 1 species
UUUCCGUAGGUGAACCUGCGGAAGGAUCAUUACAGAGUUCAUGCCCUCACGGGUAGAUCUCCCACCCUUGAAUAUUUAUACCUUAGAUGCUUUGGCAGGCCGUGGAAACACCAUGGGCUCUGGCUUAUGCGUGCCUGCCAGAGGAAACAAACUCUGUUUUUAGUGAUGUCUGAGUACUAUAUAAUAGUUAAAACUCUCAACAACGGAUCUCUUGGUUCUG